rnacentral:lncRNA from 1 species
GGUGAUUGUCCAGCUGAGACUGGGACGAUCUGGAUGUAGAACUCUCAGCUACCCCUCCAGCUCCAUGUCUCUCUGCCGUAAUGAUACUGGACUAAACCUUUGAACUGUAAGCGGGCCCCAAUGACACAUUUUCUUUUAUAAGAGUUGGCAUGGUCGUGGUGUCUCUUCACAGUAAUAGAAACCCUAACUAAGACACCAUGUUUCCUGUGUUUGUCAGAAUUCAGCUUAUGAGUUAGGGCACACAUUCAGGCCCACUAAACAAAGGUGAACAUUUACUCUUAUAACAAGGAUGCUCAAACAGAAUUAAUCACCUCCAGGCAUACUGAUCAAUGGUACAACUGAUGUCAUUAAGGAUGUCAAGAAGAGAUUUUCUCUCUCCUCCUGUGCAUUUUCAUGGCUCUUAGAUGCCUUUCUACAGGCAAUAAAGGCUGGCAACCUCUGGCAGCUCUUAAUAAUCUUAGGUCAUAUCAUCUGAAAUCCCAAGGCAAAAGCAGCCUCCUUCUAAAUCGCUCUUAUUAAAACCUUGGAGGAUGAUUGAUUGGCCCAUUUUGGGUCAUCUUGAGUUCCUGAGUCAAUCACUGGCCAACUGGAUAGAGAAUGAUGACUAGCUAGGCCUGAGUCAUAGCCUGUACUUGGAUGGAGAUGAGGUCACAGGGAAGCAGGUGUCCUAAAGGGAAAAUUAAUACUCACUUGCCAAAGAGAGUGGAGCAGCCUGCUGCAGGAGCAACUGGAAUGUGGUGUGUGGCUCCAGUCAGAGGCCAAUUUUCUUAUAAAGGAAAGGUUCUUGCUUUCCUGAAGGAUUCUUGCUGCUGUAUGCACUCACUGAUAAGUGGAUAUUAGCCCAGAAGCUCAGAAUACCCAAGAUACAAUUCACAAAACACAUGAAACUCAAGAAGAAGGAAGACCGAAGUGUGGAUGCUUCGGUCCUUCUUAGAAGGGGGAACAAAAUACCCAUGGAAGGAGUUACAGAGACAUAGUGUGAAGCAGAGACUGAAGGAAAGGCCAUCCAGAGACUGUCCUACCUGGGGGAUCCAUGCCAUAUACAAUCACCAAACCUAGACUCUAUUGUGGAUGCCAACAAGAGCUUGUUGACAGGAGACUGAUAUAGCUGUCUCCUAAGAGGCUCUGCCAUUGCCUGACAAAUACAGAGGUGGAUAAUCUCAGCCAACCAUUGCACUAAGCACAGAGUCCCCAAUGAAAGAACUAGAGAAAGGACCCAAGGAGCUGAAGGGGUUUGGAGCCCCAUAGUGGGAACAACAAUAUGACCUAACCAGUACCCUGAGAGCUCCUGGGACUAAACCACCAACCAAAGAAAGCACAUGGUGGAACUCAUGGUGGAACUCAGCAUAUCUAGCUGCAUAUGUAGCAGAGCAUGGCCUAGUUGGUCAUCAAUGGGAGGAGAGGCCUUUGGUCCUGUAAAGCUUAUAUGCCCCAGUAUAGGAGAAUGCCAGGGCCAAGAAGCAGGAAUGGGUGGGUUGGUGAGCAGGAAUAGGGGGUUUUCGGAGGGGAAACUAGGGAAGGGGAUAACAUUUGAAAUGUAAAUAAGGAAAAUAUCUAAUAAAAAGAUAAAAAAAGAAAUAAUUAUCACCCCACUUAAUAUUUAUCCAUUAAAAUAUGAAUAUUUUGAUGAUUGUUUUUAAAAGAUCACCCAG